AAGACUAUACUUUCAGGGAUCAUUUCUAUAGUUUUUAACUUAGGAAAUGUGCUCUAAAGUGUCCAGACCAUCCAACCACGAUGAGGAGCGUCAGUGUUUCCUUCUGAGCGUGAAGUGAGCUUAUAGUGCUGCUUUUUUGUGGCUGCUGUUUGCUUUUGAUGACCGUUCCGCUCUCUCUUGGGGGAGUUGGAGGAAGGGAACACAAGCUGAGUGGU